rnacentral:lncRNA from 1 species
ACAUCAUGAGCCGCUUUGCAUCCGUUUUUUCUGGUCAGAAGAAUGGAGCACUGGAUGAAGUGGAAAAAAACAAAGGCAAAGAGAGGAUUUCACAAUAAUCCAAACAAAUGCAAUUCUGAACCAUGAAUAUAGCAAGAGAAUGAAGAGAAGCAUUUAGGGAAACAACCCAGGGACAGAUUUAUAUAAAUUGUUAAACAACUGGAUAUGUAAGAUAAACGAGUUAAGGAAUAAUAUCAAUAGCAAUUAUUUUAGCUUAGGAGAUAGAACACUGAGUAUCUUUAGUGAAGGUGGGAAAUCUAAGAAGAAGAACUUGAGGGAGAAGUGUAUGCUUGGGUGGAGGUCGAGAGUUGCUAGAAUCAAGGGGAAGAAAGGAAGACUUCUGCACGAAUUUUAAGCAUGGAAAUAUUUUGAGAAGAUACUAAGUCCCAACAGGCAUGUAAGAGAUUUCUGCAGAAACAAAAAGACCUCUAACUGAUGUGCCUGGAGACGGCCUGAUGGGAUGAAUUCACCCCUGGAAGGCAAGCAACUUAUUCCAUGACUGAGCCUUAGGACUGAGCUAGGAAAUUAUACUCUAAACAGGACUCUCAAGGAAUCUCUCCACAGCCUUCAAAGGAGGGGAUCUGAGAACUAAGUCAAAGGAGACCUAGAAUAUGUUAGUUUGUCUGGGACGCUCCAGUUUUAGUCCUGAUAUUCAUGUGGCUCAGGAAACCCUUCUGUCCCAGGAUGGCUGGUUAUCCUAUGAGAGCAGGAACAAGUAAGUUACAUAGUUUAAUUUUGUUCCCCUUAAGGCCCUUCAACUAUGAUUGAAGAGGUUUACAUGUGAAAUAACUUUGAAGGAGGAUGUAAAUAUCAGUGUGUGUGUGUGUGUGUGUGCAUACACAUAUAUACCCACGCACAUAGACACAAGUUGCAUAUAGGUACAUAUAUACAUACACACACAUGCAUAUAUAUAUA